rnacentral:rRNA from 1 species
AACGAACGCUGGCGGCAUGCCUAACACAUGCAAGUCGAACGAGACCUUCGGGUCUAGUGUCGCACGGGUGCGUAACGCGUGGGAACCUGCCCUUAGGUUCGGAAUAACUCCCCGAAAGGGGUGCUAAUACCGGAUAAUGUCUUCGGACCAAAGAUUUAUCGCCUUUGGAUGGGCCCGCGUUGGAUUAGCUAGUUGGUAGGGUAAAAGCCUACCAAGGCGACGAUCCAUAGCUGGUAUGAGAGGAUGAUCAGCCACACUGGGACUGAGACACGGCCCAGACUCCUACGGGAGGCAGCAGUGGGGAAUAUGGGACGAUGGGCGAAAGCCUGAGCCAGCAAGGCCGCGUGAGUGAUGAAGGCCUUAGGGUUGUAAAGCUCUUUUACCCGGGAUGAUAAUGACAGAACCGGGAGAAUAAGCUCCGGCUAACUCCGU